rnacentral:rRNA from 1 species
GACGAACGCUGGCGGCGUGGAUUAGGCAUGCAAGUCGAACGGUAUCAUCCUUUCGGGGGUGAGAGAGUGGCGAACUGGUGAGUAACACGUAGGUUAUCUACCCUCAAGACGGGGACAACCCAGGGAAACUUGGGCUAAUACCGGAUGUGAGCAACUUUUAGUUGUUUGAAAGGUGGCGUAAGCUGUCGCUUGGGGAUGAGCCUGCGUCCUAUUAGUUAGUUGGUGAGGUAACGGCUCACCUAGGCAAUGAUAGGUAGGCGGCCUUAACGGGUGGUCGCCCACACUGGGAUUGAGAUACGGCCCAGACUCCUACGGGAGGCAGCAGUCGAGAAUAGUCUACAAUGGUCGGAAGACUGAUAGUGCGACGCCGCGUGAACGAUGAAUCCCUUCGGGGUGUAAAGUUCUUUUAUAUGUGAGCAGUGCUUCUUAUAUUAACAGUAUGGGAGAGAGAUAUUAGCAUAUGAAUAAGCAACGGCUAACUCCGUGCCAGCAGCCGCGGUAAA